AGGGAUAUGGUGUAAUUGGCAACACAUCGGUUUCUGGCACCGCUAUUUGGGGUUCGAGUCCCUAUAUCCCUA
rnacentral:tRNA from 1 species